rnacentral:rRNA from 1 species
AGCUCCAAUAGCGUAUAUUAAAGUUGUUGCAGUUAAAAAGCUCGUAGUUGGAUUUGUGGCAGUCGUGAACAUCCUUGCACUUAGUGUUAGUGUAUGUUCGCGUCGCCAUCCUUGGGUGGAACCUGUGUGGCAUUAGGUUGUCGUGCAGGGGAUGCCCAUCGUUUACUGUGAAAAAAUUAGAGUGUUCAAAGCAGGCUUAUGCCGUUGAAUAUAUUAGCAUGGAAUAAUAAGAUAGGACCUUGGUACUAUUUUGUUGGUUUGCGCACCGAGGUAAUGAUUAAUAGGGACAGUUGGGGGUAUUCGUAUUCCAUUGUCAGAGGUGAAAUUCUUGGAUUUUUGGAAGACGAACUACUGCGAAAGCAUUUACCAAGGAUGUUUUCAUUAAUCAAGAACGAAAGUA